UCCAGGCCGGCGCCGCGCCGUCAGGCGCCGGGUGAAGGUUUCCACUCAGAAACCUUGUGUGGGAAUUGUUUGGGCUCUUAGAUUAAAAAAAUGUAUCCUAGAAAGAUUAAUAGUCGCAUUCCCGACAAACGUUCCUACUCUGAGUGCUCAGUGAGUGCUUCUAGAAUAAUUUAGCCACACAUCUAAUGAAGGAUUUUCAGUGGAUAUUAGCGACAGCACCAAGAAGAAAAACAAGAUGCCUGUGCCCGGCGCUGUCCGCUCCUUUUCAUCUUCCACCCGCUGGAACCUUCUGGCAAGAAGGGGAGGAGGAUGACUCGAGCAAAGGAAGAGCGUUUGCACCACCAGGUAGACUACCAAAGCUGAACUCUCAGGAGGAAGAGAUUUUGCCCCAAUGAGAUAAUCAGGCUCUUCUCAACCCCAGCAGACUCCCAGGGGACCCAGCUUCCACGUUUCCUAUUGCGAUGACACUUCUGCAGGAGCUCCGUGGGAGAAUGAGGUCUUCUGAGUGGCUGAAAAUAACACUGUGUUAGCUAUACGUUUUGUUUAUUGCUCUCUUCUUUCAUCUGUCCAACAACCCUAUGACCUAAGUACUGUGACCAAGCCCAUUUUCCAGAUUUGAAACUGAGGCACAGGGAAUAUAAAUAGAUGGCUUUAGGUAGAGAGCUGGGAUAUAAGGAGCAGAGCCCUGAAGUCCAAGCUUUUAACCAAUGGGCUGUACCCUGGAGGUGGCUGUUUGCUUCCCACACCCCAUGCAUCUCAUACGAGAUCAGAAAGAGCUUUGAUAAUGGGGGGAAGGGAAGGGAGAUGCCUGGCACUGGCACACACAUU